AGAGAGAGACAUGCGUGCAUAUCAAUAAGCGGAGGAAAAGAAACUAACAAGGAUUCCCCUAGUAACGGCGAGUGAAGCGGGAAGAGCUCAAAUUUGAAAUCUUAAAGGGUUUCCCUUUACGAAUUGUAGUUUAAAGAAGUGUUUUCUGUUGAGGUUUUGGUAAAAGUUCUUUGGAAUAGGACAUCAUAGAGGGUGAGAAUCCCGUAUUUGACCUUUACUUUCAACUUUGUGAUACACUUUCAAAGAGUCGGAUUGUUUGGGAAUGCAGUCCAAAAUGGGUGGUAAAUUUCAUCUAAAGCUAAAUAUUGGCGAGAGACCGAUAGCGAACAAGUACCGUGAGGGAAAGAUGAAAAGAACUUUGAAAAGAGAGUUAAACAGUACGUGAAAUUGUCAAAAGGGAAGCGUUUGACACCAGUGUUGUUUUUCUGAAAAUCAAUUAAAGAACUGUUUAUGCUAAGUUGUUUAGACUUUAUCAGCUAACUGUUUAGUUUUGAGCUUUUCUUUAAUGCACUUUUCAAUUAACAAGUCAACAUCAAUUUCUUUUGCUGUAAAAAAGCUUGAGGAAGGUGGCUUGAGAUUCGUCUUAAGUGUUUAUAGCCUCUUGCCUAUGCAGUCGGAGAGAUUGAGGUCUGCAGCGUAGAUCCUUCGGGGCUAAAUGCAUUUGUGCUAAGUUAUAGCAUUUUAUAGACAACUUGUUGACUAUGAUUUGUCUUGUAGCUUACUCGCUUAUGUUAUUUUACCUACGCUUAGGAUGUUGAGCGCAUGUCUCUCUCU
rnacentral:rRNA from 1 species